rnacentral:rRNA from 1 species
CUACGGGAUGCUCCAGUGAGGAAUAUUGCACAAUGGGGGGAACCCUGAUGCAGCAACGCCGCGUGGAGGAUGACACUUUUCGGAGCGUAAACUCCUUUUAUAUAGGAAGAAGAUGACGGUACUAUAUGAAUAAGCGCCGGCUAACUCCGUGCCAGCAGCCGCGGUAAUACGGAGGGCGCAAGCGUUACUCGGAAUCACUGGGCGUAAAGAGCGUGUAGGCGGAUUAAAAAGUCAGAAGUGAAAUCCUAUAGCUUAACUAUAGAACUGCUUCUGAAACUCUUAAUCUAGAAUAUGGGAGAGGUAGAUGGGAUUUCUGGUGUAGGGGUAAAAUCCGUAGAGAUCAGAAGGAAUACCGAUUGCGAAGGCGAUCUACUAGAACAAUAUUGACACUGAGACGCGAAAGCGUGGGGAGCAAACAGGAUUAGAUACCCCGGUAGUC